UACGUAGGGACCGAGCGUUGUCCGGAUUCAUUGGGCGUAAAGGGCGCGUAGGCGGCCUGUUAAGUCGAACGUGAAAUCCCCGGGCUCAACCCGGGAACUGCGUCCGAUACUGGCAGGCUUGAAUUCGGGAGAGGGAUGUGGAAUUCCAGGUGUAGCGGUGAAAUGCGUAGAUAUCUGGAGGAACACCGGUGGCGAAGGCGGCAUCCUGGACCGAUAUUGACGCUGAUGCGCGAAAGCCAGGGGAGCAAACGGG
rnacentral:rRNA from 1 species